rnacentral:rRNA from 1 species
UAGGGAAUAUUGGGCAAUGGAGGCAACUCUGACCCAGCCAUGCCGCGUGCAGGAUGACGGCGCUCAGCGUUGUAAACUGCUUUUAUCAGGGAAGAACCGGCUCUAUGCGUAGGGUCAUGACGGUACCUGAGGAAUAAGCACCGGCUAACUCCGUGCCAGCAGCCGCGGUAAUACGGAGGGUGCAAGCGUUGUCCGGAUUUAUUGGGUUUAAAGGGUGCGUAGGUGGUGGCCUAAGUCUGGUUUGAAAGCGGGUGGCUUAACCAUCCGAUGUGGCUGGAAACUGGGUUACUUGAAUGGAUUGGCGGUAGCCGGAACGGGUCAUGUAGCGGUGAAAUGCAUAGAUAUGACCCAGAACACCGAUUGCGAAGGCAGGCUACUACGAUUUGAUUGACACUGAGGCACGAGAGCAUGGGGAGCCAACAG